CAGUCGCCACGGGAAAACGGAGGGUGCGAGCGUUAAUCGGAAUAACUGGGCGUAAAGGGCACGCAGGCGGUGACUUAAGUGAGGUGUGAAAGCCCCGGGCUUAACUUGGGAAUUGCAUUUCAUACUGGGUCGCUAGAGUACUUUAGGGGGGGGUAGAAUUCCACGUGUAGCGGUGAAAUGCGUAGAGAUGUGGAGGAAUACCGAAGGCGAAGGCAGCCCCUUGGGUAUGUACUGACGCUCAUGUGCGAAAGCGUGGGGAGCAAACAGGAUUAGAUACCCGUGUAGUCCCUGUCUCUUAUAC
rnacentral:rRNA from 1 species